rnacentral:rRNA from 1 species
AACGAACGCUGGCGGCAUGCCUAACACAUGCAAGUCGAACGAGACCUUCGGGUCUAUUGGCGCACGGGUGCGUAACGCGUUGGAACCUGCCCUUAGGUUCGGAAUAACUCCCCGAAAGGGGUGCUAAUACCGGAUAAUUUCUUCGGACCAAAGAUUUAUCGCCUUUGGUUGGGCCCGCGUUGGAUUAGAUAGUUGUUAGGGUAAAAGCCUACCAAGGCGACGAUCCAUAGCUGGUCUGAGAGGAUGAUCAGCCACACUGGGACUGAGACACGGCCCAGACUACUACGGGAGGGAGGAGUGGGGAAUAUAGGAAAAUGGGCGAAAGCCUGAUACAGCAAUGACGCGUGAGUGAUGAAGGCCUUAGGGUUGUAAAGCUCUUUUACCCGGGAUGAUAAUGACAGUACCGGGAGAAUAAGCUCCGGCUAACUACGUG